CAGAGCCAGAGCAGACACAAGGGUAGAGCUGGACAGUGCUAGCUCUCACUUCCUUCUGCAGCCUUGACUGUGUUCCCAUGGCCUCCUCAGUCUAAAGGUUGCUUCUCUGCCUUCCACAGUCAAAGCCAACAAAUGAAAAUAAUCACUAGUGGGAGCUGGGCGGGAGUACCCAGGAUUCUGGUCAAUCACUCUUCAACUCAGAACAAGAGGAAGGCCUGCGGCAUGUCUGCUCCUGCCCUCCUCCAGCCAAGGAUGAGCUAUGUUUCACGUGCUGGCAGGCAGCAUCAUACAAAGUUCUGUUGAGUUCUGAGAUGGGUAUGACCGGAAGGAGCAACCUGGGGAGUGAAAGAAGCCCCCUGUCUUACAGUUUGCCACCAGAUGAACUGCCGAGUAACCUCCACAGUCCAUUCAAACGUCGCCCUCUCCUUGAAGACUUCUCUGACACUCCAAGUAUCUAAAUCCCCAAGUAUGGGGAAAACCGGCAACAACAUUUUGGAAGCUGAAACACGCUGGGUGGUCCAGUGGUCCUGAGAUCAGACCUGAGAAAACGGAGUCUCAAACCAGCAAAGGGAAGCUGAAAAUCAACCUGAUUUACCCCACAAAAUUCUCCAAAGUCUCAGAUGGAUGGCACCAGGCGUCUGGCCAUGGGAGAGGAGGUGCAUUAAAACCAGAAGUCCAAGGCAGACUCUCUGGGAAGUCAGGCACCUGGUGCUCUCUGGCCAACAGAAGUCUGCAGCGUAUUCAUUCUCUGGAGACGGCAAACCAAGGACUUUGACUGGAGUGCCAGGCCCAGCUGAGAAAAAUCGAGUCCAUGUUUACUGAAUACUGAAGCAGGGGUCCCCAACCCUUUCCCCCAACUCAGCUCUCACAACAAGGGUGGCUUGACUCAUCCUUCAGGCAGACUGGAAGAUGCCUCUUUGAAGAAAGUGAAACAUUUCAUGAAGCACCUAAAAAGAUGAUCCUGGGAGAGGGUCCCCAAUAGCUAGUGUACCCAGACUGAACUGACCGGACCCAGCUAUGGGCUCAGACUUCCAAUCGGCCUUUUCUCCCUACUCUUACUCUGGAGCAGAAAGCCAAGAAUGACCAGAUAUCUGAUAAGUCCCUCUGAUAGGGAUGAUAAAGACCCAAACAAAAGGAAAAGGGCAGCUCAAAGGAAACAGAAACUUCGCAAAGAUAAGAAAACUCUGAAAAAUAUAUCAACAAAUACUCUGAGGGCUACAAGAAAGUAUUGCAUCCUUGAAGCAAACCAAAAAAAAAAAAAAAAAAAAAAAGGGGAUGUCAUUAAAACAAUAAAAUGAAAUGUAACAAUCAAAAAACUAAGAAAAAGGUCUUGAUUAUUAAAAACAGUUUAGCAAAAUAAGAAAAUUGAUUGAAGGCAUACAAGACUGAGUUAAGGGAAUCCUCAGAAAGUGAAAAUAAAAAUAGGUAAUAAAAAAAAUCCAAUAUCCAAAUAGUAAAAGUACCAGAGAGAACAGAAAGUGUAGAAAAAUAUCACCACUGAAAUAAUUCAAGAUGAUUUCUCAAAACUGAAAGAUACAUUACCAGACCAGAAACGGCCCACCCAGUGCCCAGCAUAAUAUAAAGAGAACCUCAUGUUCGUGUAUCGUUUUGAAAUUUCAGAAAACCGGGGACAAAAAGAACUUCCUACUAGUUUAUAGUUACAUGUAAAAGAUUAUGAAUCAGAAUGGACUGCUUACCAGCAAUACUAGAAGCCAGGAGACAAGCAAUCAGAAGUUUAAAAGAAAAUAGUUUGUAACCUAGAAAUUGACAUCCAGCCAAACUAUGGGCCGAGUGUGAGCACAGAAAAAAAAUUUUUCAGACCAAAAAGUCUCAAACCACUUCUCUCCCAUGAGCUCUUUCUCAAGAAGUUACUGGAAGAUAACCUCCAUCAAGAUGAGACAGCAAGGGCACCUGGGUGGCCUAGUCAGUUAAGCAUCAGUCCCAGGAGUUC